UGGGGAAUAUUGCACAAUGGGCGCAAGCCUGAUGCAGCAACGCCGCGUGAGGGACGAUGGCCUUCGGGUUGUAAACCUCUUUUGGCAGGGAAGAAGCGAAAGUGACGGUACCUGCAGAAAAAGCACCGGCUAACUACGUGCCAGCAGCCGCGGUGAUUCGUAGGGUGCAAGCGUUGUCCGGAAUUAUUGGGCGUAAAGAGCUCGUAGGCGGUUUGUCGCGUCUGCUGUGAAAACCCGAGGCUCAACCGCGGGCCUGCAGUGGGUACGGGCAUACUAGAGUGCGGUAGGGGGGAUUGGAAUUCCUGGUGUAGCGGUGGAAUGCGCAGAUAUCAGGAGGAACACCGAUGGCGAAGGCAGAUCUCUGGGCCGUAACUGACGCUGAGGAGCGAAAGCAUGGGGAGCGAACA
rnacentral:rRNA from 1 species